UGCGAAGUGGACAAGCGGUUAAGUCGCCAGUCUCAUAAUCUGGAGAGCGUGGGUUCAAGUCCCACCUUCGCGC
rnacentral:tRNA from 1 species